rnacentral:lncRNA from 1 species
CUAAACCACGCACAUAAUACUCAAACAUAUUAUACAAAUUAUCGUUAUACAUACACCACACCAAAUACUGAAUCAUCAAUUAUCUACUAUUAAACAAUCAACAAUUAAUUUUCAAGCUUACAUAGUAUCAUACACAUACACAACCUACUCUUUCUUCUAGCACGUACACACCACAACCUUAGGUAAUCUUUGUACUUAUACAAUUUGGCUCAUGGAAGUCACAAGGCAUUAUCUAUCAACCAGAGUGCAAGGCACAGGGACUCACUUGGAUUCCUUAGUUUAGCUUGUCCAAAUGCUAGAGCCUUCUUCGUCGUGGUAGCUAAGCAUGACAAUCAUUUACUAGUUAAUCAAAUGGUGGUAAAUCCUUAAAAACCCAAAAUCUUUAAUUCUACAAAAGCUGUGAGAGUCCUUACUCCACUUCUUCAUUUAGUCCACGAGUAUCGAAAGACAAGAAACUUACCAUUUCGCCCAAUUUCUCUACUUUCAUGCCUUAAUCCACAAUAUUGCUAUGACAUGCAAAGCUUUCUUCAACUACAUCCCCUUCUUCUUCAAAACGACUGAAAAAGAUGAUGUUAUGGAGAGAAAAAGAUUUAUAGACAGAAUUAAGAAAAAUAUUUAUGGACUAGACCGAUUUUACGAACUAGAAGCGUUUUUAGCAUAUUUGCAGGAACACGCUUUUAGCUGGAAGUGCUUUUUGCGCCCAAUAUCUUUUAUUUUUUUUUGGGUGCCACCUCUUAUGAAAAUAAAAUUUACAAAACAGGUCUUUCUAUAGACCCCAAGUCUCAUUUUUCUUAUUUUCUUAAGCGAUGUGGGAUAUGGGUCUUUAUAGACUCAUAAUCCAUUUGCAAUUUGUUUCUAGACAAUGUGAGAUUGCUUAAUGAUGUACAAAUAAGGGAAAUGAGACUUGGGGUCUAUAUAAACAUCUAUUUUGUAAGUUUUAUAUUGAUAAGAGGUGACACUAAAAUAAUUUUUCUAAAAAAUAUUGGGGGCAGAAAGAGCUUCCCGUUAGAAUUGUUUUCUUGGAAAUAUGCUAAAAAUGUUUCCAGCUGGAAGUGUUUUUCUAAAAAACAUUUUCAUAAAAUCGGUUCAGUCCCGUAAUUUUUCGAAAAAAUGACCUAAUCUAAUAAUUAUUAAAAAAAUGACAUUUUUCAUAAAUUCACUCAUAAUUAAGGAGCGGAGCAAAAGGUAAAAAAAAUAUAAAAAUUGAUUUUUAGUAUUCAGUUAUUUUUUAAGUUAAAAAAUAAUAGAGUUUUUUUAAUGGUUAAUUAUUUAGUUUAAUACAUUAGUAUAACUAUGUUUUUAUUAUAUCUAGUUUUUAAUUUAGUUGCUAUGUAAUUUUUAUUGAAAGCAAUCUUUUUAUAUAUGUUAAUACUAAGGAGUAGGUUUUGAGGAUUAAUACAUUCUCGCUCAAGUAAAUUGUGAAACGAUGGUCAACAAUUAAUUCAUUAAGUGACCAACAAUUUGAUAAAUUUAGAUUUAAAAAUAUGACAUAUGAAAAUUAGAUAAUAAAUACAACAAAUAUUUUCAUGCAAUACUUGUAUAUAAAAAGAAAACAAAUAAUUUAUUAGGUCACUAGGAAACAAAUCACAACAAUUACAUAUUGAAACUACAACAAUAACAAAAAUAUGAUUACACUGAACUGUAGUCAUAAGUAGAAAAUAGAAAAGAAUUUUAAAAAAUAUUAUAGGUCUCAUAAAACACCAGCAUUUUAAAAAACAAGCCCAAAUGCAAGAGCAACAAGGGAAGCAAGCACCGACGGCACGAAGAUUGUGGCAUCGGAGGUGGGACUAGGGGCCGGAGCUUCAGCUGCCGCCACAUUUUGGACCUUAAAUACGGCAACCAACACAAUCAACAUCACCCAAAAUACUUCCAUCCUCAAUGCCUCCAUUCUUGAUGCUUUCCUACAAAGAAUUAGAGACAACAAAUUCAGACUAAGCAAGUUGGGACUGCAUAAAAUGAGAUUUUAUAAUAAAUUUUAGAGGGUCACGGGCAGUCUGCCCCAGAUGACAGUUGGUUCAUUCAGAUUUAUAUGAAUAUGACAUAAAAAAUUAUUUUAAAAAUCUGAAUUAUAGAAAAAUAAAAUACUUUAAAUGUAUUUAUAAUAUAAAAUAUAUGCUAAAAUAACAUGAAUUUCUUUUGGGCUGCCCGUUUGUUAAGACAAUAUGGGUGGCUUUAACCUGUAGGUUUCAUACAGCUGUCGCCAACGGUUUCUUUGUGUC